rnacentral:misc_RNA from 1 species
GAUGAAGAACGUAGCAAAAUGCGAUACUUGGUGUGAAUUGCAGAAUCCCGUGAACCAUCGAGUUUUUGAACGCAAGUUGCGCCCGAAGCCUUUUGGCCGAGGGCACGUCUGCCUGGGCGUCACGCAUCGCGUCGCCCCCCACAAUUCUCCGUAAAGGGAACGUGUGUUUUGGGGGCGGAUAUUGGUCUCCCGUGCUCAUGGCGUGGUUGGCCGAAUUAGGAGUCCUUUCGAUGGACGCACGAACUAGUGGUGGUCGUAAAAACCCUCGUCUUUUGUUUCGUGCUGUUGCUCGCAAGGUAAACUCUUUAAAAACCCCAAUGUGUCGUCUCUUGACGACGCUUCGACCGCGACCCCAGGUCAGGCGGGACUACCCGCUGAGUUUAAGCAUAUCAAUAAGCGGAGGA